rnacentral:lncRNA from 1 species
CAAGAUGUCCUCUUGCUGUUGUCCUACUUUGAGUUGCUCUGGGCUCUGGAGAGUCCAGAGUGAGAGAUGUCACGUAGCUGUCGACGUCAGCUCGGCCCUCUUCUCCGACGUUUCUGCUUAUGUGGCAGGAGACCUCAACAGAGCUGCACCCAGGAGGUCUUGGAAGAGAUGGUCUCUGGCUUCAACUAUUCCAGCUCCCUAGACAAUGAUCUGGUGCUCCCGACAAACAGGGAUCGGUGCUGCUCUGAGGUAAGAAACGGAAGAGGGCUCACCCCAGAAAUAUGGCCCCCACACGAAUGAGGAGAGAAAGCUGGGGCCCUCCCCUAGUGUGUCCACAUGAGUGUCCCACAGGCCCAACCGCAGAGAGAUCUGAACCUCUACGCCUAGCCUCCAGCUACGUGGGAUGUGGGAGGACACUCUUCACCUGUGUUGGAGUGGUGCAGGAUAUAGUUCAUGUUUUGAGGAAUUGGAGGGCUUUGUUUUGUUUUGUUUUCCCAAAGCCAUGAGUAUCUUUGCAUUCUACUCCUGUUUUUUUUUUUUUAUAAUAAAGUUGUUUUUAUUGGUGUUCAGUUUGCCAACAUACAGAAUAACACCCAGUGCUCAUCCCGUCGAGUGCCCCCCUCAGUGACCGUCACCCACUCACCCACACCCCCUGCCCUCCUCCCCUUCCACCACCCCUAGCUCUUUUCCCAGAGUUAGGAGUCUUUAUGUUCUGUCUCCCUUUCUGAUAUUUCCCACACAUUUCUUCUCCCUUCCCUUAUAUUCCCUUUCACUAUUAUUUAUAUUCCCCAAAUGGAUGAGAACAUACACUGUUUGUCCUUCUCCGACUGACUUACUUCACUCAGCAUAAUACCCUCCAGUUCCAUCCACGUCGAAGCAAAUGAUGGGUAUUUGUCAUUUCUAACGGCUGAGGAAUAUUCCAUUGUAUACAUAAACCACAGCUUCUUUAUCCGUUCAUUUUUCGAUGGACACUGAGGCUCCUUCCACAGUUUGGCUAUUGUGGACAUUGUUGCUGUGAACAUUAGGGUGCAGGUGUCCAGGCGUCUCACUGCAUCUGUAUCUUUGGGGUAAAUCCCCAACACUGCAAUUGCAGGGUCGUAGGGCAGGUCUGUUUUUAACUCUUUGAGGAACCUCCACACACUUUUCCAGAGUGGCGGCACCAGGUCACAUUCCCACCAACAGUGUAAGAGGGUUCCCUUUUCUCCACAUCCUCUCCAACAUUUGUGGUUUCCUGCUUUGUGAAUUUUCCCCAUUCUCACUGGGGCGAGGUGGUAUCUCAUUGUGGCUUUGAUUUGUAUUUCCCUGAUGGCAAGUGAUGCAGAGCAUUUUCUCAUGUGCGUGUUGGCCACGUCUGUGUCUUCCUCUGUGAGAUUUCUCUUCAUGUCUUUUGCCCAUUUCAUGAUUGGAUUGUUUGUUUCUUUGCUGUUGAGUUGAAUAAGUUCUUUAUAGAUCUAGGAAACUAGCCCUUGAUCUGAUACGUCAUUUGCAAUUAUCUUCUCCCAUUCUGUAGGUUGUCUUGUAGUUUUGUUGACUGUAUCCUUUGCUGUGCAAAAGCUUCUUAUCUUGACGAAGUCCCAAUAGUUCAUUUUUGCUUUUGUUUCUUUCGUCAAAAUCUUAUAAUGGUACAUUGUCCUAAGGCAUAAAAACCUCAGGGUCCAAACAUGGUGUCGUUUCUCAAAAACAAUGUUGGCACUGGUGUUGACAAGGUGACUCCAG